UACGAAGGGGGCUAGCGUUGUUCGGAUUUACUGGGCGUAAAGCGCACGUAGGCGGAUCGUUAAGUCGGGGGUGAAAUCCUGGAGCUCAACUCCAGAACUGCCUUCGAUACUGGCGAUCUUGAGUCCGGAAGAGGUGAGUGGAACUCCUAGUGUAGAGGUGGAAUUCGUAGAUAUUAGGAAGAACACCCGUGGCGAAGGCGGCUCUCUGGGACGGUACUGACGCUGAGACGCGAAAGCGUGGGGAGCGAACGAG
rnacentral:rRNA from 1 species